GCAAACUUGGUCAUUUAGAGGAAGUAAAAGUCGUAACAAGGUUUCCGUAGGUGAACCUGCGGAAGGAUCAUUAACAAAUCUUUCUAUAUAAACCUGUUGCAUUGGCCGUGGAUGCUGCCAGCAAGUCUUAAAGACUUGGCUUGGACUGUGGUCCAACUGGCAGUUGAAGCGGAGUAAGGCUUGUAGGCUAUGGAUUUUCGAGUCUAUAUGUUGAAAAGCCUUUACAUAAACGUCUAUUUAUUGUCUAAGUGUUCGUAAUGAUAAAUAAAUACAACUAUUAACAGUGGAUCUCUUGGCUCCCACAUCGAUGAAGAACGCAGC
rnacentral:misc_RNA from 1 species